rnacentral:lncRNA from 1 species
UACUCAAGCCAUUGCAUGCAACAAUCGUUUAUUUGAAAGACGUCAAGAACAAAGAUUUGGUUGGAGAAGAACAAAUCAAGUAAUGGUAGCAACUCCCAAGUUUUUUGAAAUAUAUUCAUCAAAACCGGAAUCAAUGCAAAUUGAUAUAAUACGUUUCAAUUUUCUCACGAAGUAGGAAAAGACUCGACAUGGCCAAGAGGGGUUGUAUUUAUAUUAUGGAAAAGCUUAACACAUUGCUCAACAUUAUUCAAAGAAGCAACGCAAUUACAAAAUGAGGAGCACCAUUACCAAA